rnacentral:rRNA from 1 species
AGGAUUCCCCUAGUAACGGCGAGUGAAGCGGGAUGAGCUCAAAUUUGAAAUCUGGUCGUUUCCGCGGCCCGAGUUGUAGUUUAGAGAGGCGUAUUCCGCGGCGGACCACGUACGAGUCCUUUGGGAUGAGGCGUCGUAGAGGGUGAGAACCCCGUUCACGACGUGGACUACCGUCGCUUUGCGUUGCGCCCUCGAAGAGUCGAGUUGUUUGGGAAUGCAGCUCAAAACGGGUGGUAAAUUCCAUCUAAAGCUAAAUACAGGCGUGAGACCGAUAGCGAACAAGUACCGUGAGGGAAAGAUGAAAAGAACUUUGGAAAGAGAGUUAAACAGUACGUGAAAUUGCUGCAAGGGAAACGCUUGGAGUCAGUCGUUUCGUCCGGGACUCAACGGAGGUUCUCCUCCGCCUACUUCCCGCGACGAGAGGCCAGCGUCGGUUUCGGACGUCGAAGAAGGUCCGAGGGAAUGUGGCACCUUCGGGUGUGUUAUAGCCCUCGGUCGGACGCGGCGUCGGGGACCGAGGACCGCUUUUACAGGAUGCUGGCGUAAUGGCUCUAAGCGACCCGUCUUGAAACACGGACCAAGGAGUCUAACAUGCUCGCGAGUGUUCGGGUGUAAAACCCCUGCGCGUAAUGAAAAGUGAAAAAGUUGGGAGGGCGCGAGCCCGCACCGACGCCCGACCCUGAAGUUUACGGACGGGUUUGAGGUGGAGCGAGUAUGUUGGGACCCGAAAGAUGGUGAACUAUGCCUGAAUAGGGUGAAGCCAGAGGAAACUCUGGUGGGAGGCUCGUUAGCGAUUCUGACGUGCAAAUCGAUCGUCAAAUUUGGGUA